UACGGAGGGGGCGAGUGUUGUUCGGAAUUACUGGGCGUAAAGGGCGCGCAGGCGGCAUGGCAAGUCGAGUGUGAAAUCCCUUGGCUUAACUAAGGAAUGGCGCUCGAAACUACCGCGCUGGAGGGCGGGAGAGGGAAGUGGAACUCUCGGUGUAGGGGUGAAAUCUGUAGAUAUCGAGAGGAACACCGGUGGCGAAGGUGGCUUCCUGGCCCGUACCUGACGCUGAGGCGCGAAAGCGUGGGGAGCAAACAGG
rnacentral:rRNA from 1 species